UGGAUGAAUGGCUAAAUGGAUGAAUGGACAGAUAGAUGAAUGGAUGGAUGAAUGGCUAAAUGGAUAGAUGGACAGGUGAAUGAAUGGAUAGAUGGACAGAUGGCACUCAAGUUAGGAGCUCAUCCUGUAACCAGUGGGUUAUCUCAGUCAUAAAACUCUCCUCAUCUUCUCAUCACCAUCAGUGUGUGAACGUGUGAAUGGGAAUGUCGCUGACUCAGAACAGCAUAACACAAAUAUGUAACAUUUAUUGAAUUACUUUGGACCAAAUGACUAUAAUAUUCCCUGAUUUCAGAGUGAUAACCCACAUAUCACAUUGCCGUAAUGCCAUGUUUGGAUUUAAUUUUCUGACCCAAGACAUACAGAAUCAAGACCACAAGAGACCGAGGUAAGAUAAAUAAAUGAUAUUUAACUAAAGGAAUACCCAGAGUAGGCGAAGAGUUAUCAGUGCAGAAACUGGGUCUGAAAACCAGAGACUGGACCAGGGACCUUGGUUUGGGAUGAUGUGGUGGCUUCCAUCCAAAGGUAAAGAGGCCUUACACUUUUUGGUGAGAUGGGAAGGCUCAAGGGAGGGCCGGUCAGGUCUGAGGAUGAGGACGGUCGAGCGAGCACCAUGAUUCCACGGAGAAUGCAGGUGUUGGGUACCAAAGGUUCCAGGUUGGCAGGCUUGUGAGUGAUGGAGUGCAGGACGGCGGGUGUGAGACACUCGAGAUGCAGCUGGUUGUAGUAUGGCAGGGGUGAUGAAGACUGAUGAAGGAACCUGAGACAAGCACAGAAGUAAAACUUGAGCAUAAGCAGAUUUUUUCUGGACAUUUCCUGAAACUAGAGAGGCUGACGAAACCCAAGGAAGGUACUACAAUAUUGAGUAACCAUCCAGCGGUGUGUUGUUGUCUCACUCCUCCUUUUAAGCUGUGCUGUGAAGAUGGAAGUUCUGCAGCAGCGGGUCCCGUUCCGAGGCACCGCCCACCUGCAACUAAGCACUCACAUGCAGUUAUGGGGAGGCACCCACCUCAGAACCUGACACGUGUCUCUGCUUUACCCGAGAGCGGAGAGGUUAUUUUAACAUGAUUAAAUGACACAUCCCUAAAACAACACUAACAGAUUUUCUUUAGGUGGCAUCUGCACGGAUCCGCUGUUUAGAAGACUUGUUCUCCUGGUUCGUUUUUAAAAACAGAAACACAGAUUUGCUGAAUGUUCUGUCUCUGGGAACCAGGGUCUAAAUAGUUGCAUCUCUGAGGAAAUGUGUAAGACAAGCUAACAUGAAAUCACCUUCUUCUUUCUGGGUAAUGUGAGCAAAUCUCCUUCUUGGUGUGACUCUGGAACCUUCAGCCAAUGGAAUUAGCCGCUGGUGGUGACGUGAACACAUGAAUCAGAUCACCCCCACAUUUAAAAGACUGGUUGAACAAAGCAGGGCGACACUCCGGGUCAUGAUGAGGGGGUUCUUCUCAUUUGCUGCUCUGGUUAUGGUCGCUCUUGGAAAGGAGGUGUUUAAUGGGCAUCAGGUACUUCGGAUUGUUGCAAAAGACGGUGCUCAGCUGUCGCUCAUCAAACACCUGGAAGAUCGGACAGAUUUUGAGCUGGACUUCUGGAGGAGAGCAACCUAUGUGUCCUCUCCUGUGGAUGUCAGAGUUCCUUCCCACAGCCUGCAUUUUGUCAAAAGUUAUCUGGAGAAGCUGGACAUUCAUUAUUCCAUCAUGAUUGAAGACCUGCAGGUGCUGCUGAAUAAAGAGCAGGAGGAGAUUCAUUCUGCUGCUCGAGCGGCUCAGCUAAAGGACACUGAUAGCUUUGACUACUCCAACUAUCAUACGCUCACGGAGAUCUACACUUUCCAGGACAUGCUCGUGGCUGAGAAUCCCAACUUGGUCAGCAAGAUUGUGAUUGGUCAGAGCUCUGAAGGUCGUCCACUGAACGUGCUCAAGUUCAGCACUGGUGGAACCAACCGUCCUGCUGUCUGGAUCGACACUGGAAUCCACUCCAGAGAGUGGGUCACCCAGGCCAGCGGCAUCUGGUUCGCUAAGAAGAUAGUAAAGGACUAUAGACGCGACCCCACUGUCACGGCCGUCCUCAACAACAUGGACAUCUUCCUGGAGAUUGUGGUCAACCCUGAUGGAUACCACUACACCCACACAAACGACCGCAUGUGGCGCAAGAACAGGAAGCUUCUGUCUAACUCCAGAUGUGUGGGCAUAGACCUGAACAGGAACUGGGAUGCUGGUUUUGGAGGAGAGCAGCUGUUUUACUGGUGCUACAGAGGCACAGACAAAACCAUAAAGACUACGGUAGUCUGUGGGGCUGAAGAGGCAAACACAAUUUUUUCAGAUUUCCAUGCCAGUCCCAGAGAAGCCAUUUCAGCGCGGUUCUAUUGGCCAGGGAUGUCAGUGGACAUCAAUAAUUGGGUUUCCCAGUGUGCACUUUGCCAGGCAAGUGCUGCAACAAUUAAAAAACCAGCGGCAUACAUUCCGAUAAAGUUCGAAGCCCCCAAAAGGAUUCUUACUGACCAAGGCAAAGAACUUGUCAAUUCUCUAAACAAAAGGGUUUGCGGAUUGUUAAAAAUUAAAAGAAGCCUCUGCUCCCCCCCAUUACCCACAAACAAAUGGGCUGGUGGAGAAAAUGAAUGGCACCAUCCAGAGAGCCCUGUGCAAAGUUGUUGGCAACCAUCCAGAAAUGUGGGAUGAGUAUCUGGAUGCUGUAAUGUUUGGAAUCAGAACUAAAAAGCAAGUGACCACCAAAUACUCACCUUAUUACCUAAUGUUUGGCAGAGAGGCUCGCUAUCCUUCCGAAAUCCCAGAAGAGUUCAUAGUAUGUCUUUCUGUCUGUGACAAACUGCACGAAAAUCCCACACAACGAAAAUGUUUUAGUUUUUAAGGUUGAUAAGAGUGUGGAAGACAUUAUGGGGCAAGAGGAGCGGUAGGAAGACAUUCAAAAGCAUCAAAAGCUGUUGGAACUGGUGAAGGACAAUGUGGUCAAAGCUCAGGAAAAAGCAAAGGACAAAAUAAAAAUGAUGGAGAGAUGUCGUCUUCAAAGUUGGUGACAAAGUUUUAAGAGCUAGCAUAUGAAGCCAGCAGAGGAAAGGGGGAACACUUGAAGCAAACUUUUUAGGCCCUAACAUUAUUACAGCAAUCCAAGAUAAAAGUGCAGAUCUUCAGGAUUCCAAUGGGACAAUAAUUCCAAAAGUAAAUA